rnacentral:misc_RNA from 1 species
GGAUCGAUGGCAAGGGUAUUGUUAAUUUUCACAAACUUCAGCAAUAACUUCGAUGGUGGAAGUGUUUUUUCAUUAUCUCUAUUCUUAUGAUUUAAUAAGGAUUUAUGGUGUUAUUAUGAAAAUUAUUUUUCUUUGUGGGAGAUGGGAAAUUGGGAGAGAGAAGCUAGGCUGUGGAUUAAGCACUUUCUCUAUUCAUAUCUUUUAAUUGUUUGGUGACUUCCAUUGCAACUGAGGGAUUUGGACUUGUAAUCAUACAGAGAACUGUGAGCCAACUGUUUAUCACAUUCUGUGACCUUUCCCUUAAUCAACCAUGUUUGGUUCCAUUCAUCUAAAAGUUAUCAUUGUGCUUCUAGUUUAUUUAUAAUUUUUUUCUCAAUUCCAGGUAUAUUAAAGACUAUGAUGGAG